rnacentral:rRNA from 1 species
UACGGGGGGGGCAAGCGUUGUUCGGAAUUACUGGGCGUAAAGGGCUCGUAGGCGGCCAACUAAGUCAGACGUGAAAUCCCUCGGCUUAACCGGGGAACUGCGUCUGAUACUGGAUGGCUUGAGUUUGGGAGAGGGAUGCGGAAUUCCGGGUGUAGCGGUGGAAUGCGUAGAGAUCCGGAAGAACACCGGAGGCGAAGGCGGCUUGCUGGGCUUGGUCUGACGCUGAGGCGCGAAAGCGUGGGGAGCGAACAGG